GAUGAGCGCUAGCUACAGGCUUAACACAUGCAAGUCGAGGGGAAACGGCAUCGAAAGCUUGCUUUUGAUGGGCGUCGACCGGCGCACGGGUGAGUAACGCGUAUCCAACCUGCCCAUCACUUGGGAAUAACCUUGCGAAAGUAAGACUAAUGCCCAAUGACAUCCCACGAAGGCAUCCGAAUGGGAUUAAAGAUUUAUCGGUGAUGGAUGGGGAUGCGUCUGAUUAGCUUGUUGGCGGGGUGACGGCCCACCAAGGCAACGAUCAGUAGGGGUUCUGAGAGGAAGGUCCCCCACAUUGGAACUGAGACACGGUCCAAACUCCUACGGGAGGCAGCAGUGAGGAAUAUUGGUCAAUGGGCGAGAGCCUGAACCAGCCAAGUAGCGUGCAGGAUGACGGCCCUAUGGGUUGUAAACUGCUUUUAUAAGGGAAUAAAGUGGGUCACGUGUGACUUUUUGCAUGUACCUUAUGAAUAAGGACCGGCUAAUUCCGUG
rnacentral:rRNA from 1 species